UAUUUCUUUGUGAUGACCGAUUUUGAAAUGGGUUUCUCUAAUGCCAGGAAAUCGCGUCUGAUGUUGUCAAGUA
rfam:Opisthocomus hoazin contig58843, whole genome shotgun sequence.